rnacentral:rRNA from 1 species
UAAUACAGAGGGUGCAAGCGUUAAUCGGAAUUAUUGGGCGUAAAGCGAGUGUAGGUGGUACACCAAGUCAGUCGUGAAAACCCCGGGCUCAACCUGGGAACUGCGAUUGAAACUGUUGAACUAGAGUGUGGAAGAGGGGAGUGGAAUUUCCGGUGUAGCGGUGAAAUGCGUAGAUAUCGGAAGGAACAUCAGUGGCGAAGGCGACUUCCUGGUCCAACACUGACACUCAGACUCGAAAGCGUGGGGAGCAAACAGG